CCUACGGGGUGCAGCAGUGCGGAAUAUUGGUCAAUGGACGAGAGUCUGAACCAGCCAAGUAGCGUGAAGGAUGACUGCCCUAUGGGUUGUAAACUUCUUUUAUAUGGGAAUAAAACGUUCCACGUGUGGGGUUUUGUAUGUACCAUAUGAAUAAGGAUCGGCUAACUCCGUGCCAGCAGCCGCGGUAAUACGGAGGAUCCGAGCGUUAUCCGGAUUUAUUGGGUUUAAAGGGUGCGUAGGUGGAUUGUUAAGUCAGUUGUGAAAGGUUGCGGCUCAACCGUAAAAUUGCAGUUGAAACUGGCAGUCUUGAGUUCAGUAGAGGUGGGCGGAAUGCGUGGUGUAGAGGUGAAAUGCUUAGAUAUCGCGAAGAACUACGAUUGCGAAGGCAGGUCACUGGACUGCAACUGACACUGAGGCUCGAAAGUGUGGGUAUCAAACAGGAUUAGAUACCCUAGUAGUC
rnacentral:rRNA from 1 species